CCAAUAGCGUAUAUUAAAGUUGUUGCAGUUAAAAAGCUCGUAGUUGAAUUUCGGAAUCUGUCCGUUGGUCGGGCUUAAUUGUCCGUACUGAUGUGAUGGGUUCUUACCUUCUGAAUAACCAGCAUGUCAUUAAUUUGGUGUGUUGGGGAAGCAGGACUAUUACCUUGAAAAAAUUAGAGUGCUCAAAGCAGGCUAGUGCCUGAAUACAUUAGCAUGGAAUAAUAAAAUAGGACGGCAUGGUUCUAUUUUGUUGGUUUCUAGGAUCACCGUAAUGAUUAAUAGGGAUAGUUGGGGGCAUUAGUAUUCAAUUGUCAGAGGUGAAAUUCUUGGAUUUAUUGAAGACUAACUUCUGCGAAAGCAUUUGCCAAGGAUGUUUUCAUUAAUCAAGAACGAAAGUUAGGGGAUCGAAGACGAUCAGAUACCGUCGUAGUCUUAACCAUAAACUAUGCCGACUAGGGAUCGGACGAUGUUAAUUUUAUAAUGACUCGUUCGGCGCCUUACG
rnacentral:rRNA from 1 species